rnacentral:rRNA from 1 species
GAUGAACGCUGGCGGCGUGCCUAAUACAUGCAAGUCGAGCGAACGGACGAGAAGCUUGCUUCUCUGAUGUUAGCGGCGGACGGGUGAGUAACACGUGGAUAACCUACCUAUAAGACUGGGAUAACUUCGGGAAACCGGAGCUAAUACCGGAUAAUAUUUUGAACCGCAUGGUUCAAAAGUGAAAGACGGUCUUGCUGUCACUUAUAGAUGGAUCCGCGCUGCAUUAGCUAGUUGGUAAGGUAACGUCUUACCAAGGCAACGAUGCAUAGCCGACCUGAGAGGGUGAUCGGCCACACUGGAACUGAGACACGGUCCAGACUCCUACGGGAGGCAGCAGUAGGGAAUCUUCCGCAAAGGGCGAAAGCCUGACGGAGCAACGCCGCGUGAGUGAUGAAGGUCUUCGGAUCGUAAAACUCUGUUAUUAGGGAAGAACAUAUGUGUAAGUAACUGUGCACAUCUUGACGGUACCUAAUCAGAAAGCCACGGCUAACUACGUG